rnacentral:rRNA from 1 species
UACGUAGGGUGCGAGCGUUUGUCCGGAAUUAUUGGGCGUAAAGAGCGUGUAGGCGGUCCGGUAAGUCAGCUGUGAAAGUCAAGGGCUCAACCCUUGAAAGCCGGUUGAUACUGUCGGGCUAGAGUCCGGAAGAGGCGAGUGGAAUUCCCGGUGUAGCGGUGAAAUGCGCAGAUAUCGGGAGGAACACCAAUGGCGAAGGCAGCACUCUGGGACGUGACUGACGCUGAGACGCGAAAGCGUGGGGAGCAAACAGG